UUAGCAGAAUCAGCUGGGAAGCUGAGCGAGACAGGGUGAUAGCCCCGUAUGCGAAAAAUGUUGACCUCCCGUCAGGAUCCUGAGUACGGCCGGACACGUGAAAUCCGGUCGGAAUCCGCGAGGACCAUCUCGCAAGGCUAAAUACUCCCUAGUGACCGAUAGUGAACCAGUACCGUGAGGGAAAGGUGAAAAGCACCCCGGAAGGGGAGUGAAAAAGUUCCUGAAACCAUGUGCCUACAAGAAGUUAGAGCCCGUUAAUGGGUGAUAGCGUGCCUUUUGUAGAAUGAACCGGCGAGUUACGAUAACGUGCAAGGUUAAGGUGGAAAGACCGGAGCCGUAGCGAAAGCGAGUCUGAAAUGGGCGAAUUAGUACGUUGUUGUAGACCCGAAACCAGGUGACCUACCCAUGUCCAGGGUGAAGGUGCGGUAAAACGCACUGGAGGCCCGAACCCGUGCAUGUUGAAAAAUGCUGGGAUGAGGUGUGGGUAGCGGUGAAAUUCCAAUCGAACUUGGAGAUAGCUGGUUCUCUCCGAAAUAGCUUUAGGGCUAGCCUCGGAAUGUAGCGUGUUGGAGGUAGAGCACUGUUUUGGUGCGGGGCCCAUCUCGGGUUACCAAAUUAAGAUAAACUCCGAAUGCCAAUCACGUAUGUCCGGGAGUCAGACAGUGAGUGAUAAGAUCCAUUGUCGAAAGGGGAACAGCCCAGAUCGUCAG
rnacentral:rRNA from 1 species